GUCCCGGAUGGCGCAGUGGUUACCGCAUCUGCCUAGUACGCAGGAGAUCACGGGUUCGAAUCCCGGUCCGGUACA